GACGAACGCUGGCGGCAUGCCUAAUACAUGCAAGUCGAGCGAACAGAUGAAGUGCUUGCACUUCUGACGCUAGCGGCGAACGGGUGAGUAACACGUAAGGAAUCUACCUAUAAGCGGGGGAUAACAUUAGGAAACGGGUGCUAAUACCGCAUAAUAUCUUCUUCCGCAUGGAAGAAGAUUGAAAGACGGCUCUGCUGUCACUUAUAGAUGACCUUGCGGUGCAUUAGUUAGUUGGUGGGGUAACGGCCUACCAAGACGAUGAUGCAUAGCCGACCUGGGAGGGUGAUCGGCCACAUUGGGAGUGAGACACGGCCCAAACUCCUACGGGAGGCAGCAGUAGGGAGUCUUCCGCAAUGGGCGAAAGCCUGACGGAGCAAUGCCGCGUGAGUGAAGAAGGCCUUCGGGUCGUAAAACUCUGUUAUAAGAGAAGAACAAAUUGUAGAGUAACUGCUGCAGUCUUGACGGUAUCUUAUCAGAAAGCCACGGCUAACUACGUGCCAGCCGCCGCCGUAA
rnacentral:rRNA from 1 species